CCUAUCAAAAAAGAGUAUCAUGUGAAGUCAAAUUAUUUAGAAACAGAAUUGGGAGAAAAAGUCACUGAAAGAGAUUUGUUCUAUGGUAAUCAUCUUAUAUGGAAGUGUAAAGGAGCUUGUUAUGAAGUUUCAAUAUGUGGAACACAUAGAGAAAAGCCAUUAACUGCUAAGAAUGUUCCUAGUGAAUCUCUUUGAGCUAAUUCUGAAACCAGUAUAGUGUCAGCAGGUAGUACAAUGAAGGAGAUAUACUGAGCCAACAAAUAAAGAUACUGAAUAAACAUUCGACAACAGCAAAAAA